CUCAGAAACGCGAGGGGAGGCUUCGUUUGAGUGGGGAAGCAUUUGGAGACCGUUCGGAGGGGAAAAGCUCUGGUACCGUGAGUUGGAGCACGCGUGAUCGGCUUUCAGGUUCGGGCACUAGUAGCCAGCGUUGAUCGAGCUUGGAGCAGACUGAUCCGGAGACGGGGGUGAGCACACGGCGUUUUGUACUAUUUCAGUCUCCACCUGUACAUAUAGACUUGUCUUUU